GUUUUGUCUUGUAUGGUGGCUAUGACCCUCGGUUUGUAACCAAGUGGGUUCGGGUUCGAAUCCCGAGUAAGACU